UACGAAGGGUGCAAGCGUUACUCGGAAUUACUGGGCGUAAAGCGUGCGUAGGCGGUUUGUUAAGUCCGUUGUGAAAGCCCUGGGCUCAACCUGGGAAUUGCAGUGGAUACUGGCGAGCUAGAGUGCGGUAGAGGAUGGUGGAAUUCCCGGUGUAGCGGUGAAAUGCGUAGAGAUCGGGGGGAACACCCGUGGCGAAGGCGGCCAUCUGGACCAGCACUGACGCUGAGGCACGAAAGCGUGGGGAGCAAACAGG
rnacentral:rRNA from 1 species